AGUGAACGCUGGCGGUAGGCCUAACACAUGCAAGUCGAACGGCAGCACAGUAAGAGCUUGCUCUUACGGGUGGCGAGUGGCGGACGGGUGAGGAAUACAUCGGAAUCUACUUUUUCGUGGGGGAUAACGUAGGGAAACUUACGCUAAUACCGCAUACGACCUACGGGUGAAAGCAGGGGAUCUUCGGACCUUGCGCGAUUGAAUGAGCCGAUGUCGGAUUAGCUAGUUGGCGGGGUAAAGGCCCACCAAGGCGACGAUCCGUAGCUGGUCUGAGAGGAUGAUCAGCAACACUGGAACUGAGACACGGUCCAGACUCCUACGGGAGGCAGCAGUGGGGAAUAUUGGACAAUGGGCGCAAGCCUGAUCCAGCCAUACCGCGUGGGUGAAGAAGGCCUUCGGGUUGUAAAGCCCUUUUGUUGGGAAAGAAAAGCAGCAGGUUAAGACCCCGCUGUUCUGACGGGACCCAAAGAAUAAGCACCGGCGAACUUCGU
rnacentral:rRNA from 1 species